UGUCUUCUCUCUAAUAAAUGCCAGCCAGCAGCACCCUGGAAGAGUCAGGCCUGGCUUCCGGGGAGAAGGCCUCUGAUGGUGGGACUAGAAUUGUUUGACGUUCAAUCAUGUCCCCCAGAGAGAGCAUUCACACCACUAGUUAAUGGUUACAUCCAAUGGAGGAAAAGAUCAAAUCUUCGCUGUGCCUUUCUGGGAACCCUGUCACCUUUUCGCUCACACUCCCCUUUUCAGAAGGUGUCAGGCUGAUGGCAGAGCAGGCAGUGCUGGGAAACGCCACCAUGCUGCUCCUGCUUUCUGUCCAAGUCUACCCACAUCUCUGCCUGCCGAGGAUGUGUGCUUGGCCCUAUUCCUAUGCUGGAAAUUAUCAAAGGAGCAGCUCUCGGUCUAGCUCUGCCUAUACAGGGAUGUCCACAGUGGCCCAUGCUCUGCCUGGGACUGAAUGGUAGCCUGAAUAGCUGUGGGUAUCCAGAACUAUGCUACCUUCGUAUCUGCAGGUAGAAGAACAAGGUGUGGAUGACAGCUGUUUUUAGGUCGUGUGUUGUAAAGGUCGCUUCCGCCAGGUGUUUUUAAACAGCAGUGAGAGCACUAACUCGGUUAAGGCACAGUUGUUCUGUCUCUGUGUCUUGGUGGAUGCCAGCAAUCCCAGAACAAGACCGUUGCUGUUGGAGUGUGAAAGCUCUGAACUCCGCCCCGCUGACCCUGAGCCGGAGGAUGAACUCUUGGAAACCUGCGUGCUCUUCGGCUGCGUUCUGACCACUUACUGGAGCAUCUGAGCCUCGAGGUUGUCCAAAGCGUGGGACUCUGGUGGCAGGGGAUGGGGUUGAAUGCUAUGGCAUUCACAAUGAAGCCAAAGGAAAACUUCUGCCUGAAUUCUGGAGAUGAACUUGGGUCACCAGGCUUGGCAGCCCGGACCUUCAUCCACCAAGCCUCUCUCCAGUCCCAGUUUCAACAAAUUCUGCGGUCAAUUUUUUCACACCUUUUUUGUUUGCUUGUUUGUUUUGAAGACAAACAACUCCACAACUAAUAAUAAAAAUGUUUUACUUUCUAAUUGCA